rnacentral:rRNA from 1 species
CCUCUUGCAAGACCAAUGAAUAAGAGGUCCCGCCUGCCCUGUGACUAUAUGUUUAACGGCCGCGGUAUUUUGACCGUGCGAAGGUAGCGCAAUCACUUGUCUUUUAAAUGAAGACCUGUAUGAAUGGCACCACGAGGGCUUAACUGUCUCCCUCUCCCAGUCAAUGAAAUUGAUCUCCCCGUGCAGAAGCGGGGAUAAAAACAUAAGACGAGAAGACCCUAUGGAGUUUAAGACGCCAGAACAGCCCACGUUAAACACCCCGAAAUAAAGGAAAAAACCAAAUGGACCCUGUUUUAGUGUUUUUGGUUGGGGCGACCGCGGGGAAAAACUUAACCCCCAUGUGGAAUAGGAGUACUAUAUUCUUAAAUCCAAGAGCUCCCGCUCUAAUAAACAGAAUUUCUGACCAACAAGAUCCGGCAAUGCCGAUCAACGGACCGAGUUACCCUAGGGAUAACAGCGCAAUCCUCUUAAAGAGCCCUUAUCGACAAGGGGGUUUACGACUUCGAUGUUGGAUCAGGACAUCCUAAUGGUGCAGCCGCUAUUAAGGGUUCGUUUGUUCAACGAUUAAAGUCCU